AACGCACUUCCAUCAUCAUCAUCAGCAGCAGCAGCAGCCACAGCCAGCGAGCAGCCGCGCGCGCGCGCCGGCCGGUGAGGUGAGGUGAGGUGAGAUCGGCCGGACAGGACAGGACAGGCUAGGCAGGGGAGCUCGCGCCGGGCCGGCGCACGUCGUCGUCGAGGCUGGCCGCCGCCGCCGCCACCGCGAGGAUACCGGCGCCGGUGCGCGCGGUGAUGGCCUGGUGGCGGGCGAAGGUCGUCUUCCCGGCGCGCCGCGCGUGGGCCGCCGUCUCCACCCGCGUCCGCGCCCGCAAGACAGACAGUGGAGGCAGCAUACUGAAGCUUCACGAGGAUGUGCAAACCUGUGGAUACAAGGACGUACAGGUGAUGUUCGAGAUUCUGAAAUCUGAACUGGAGGAAUCACGCACUCCCAAGCAGCGAAAGCCGCCGGCGGCAUGGAGGCCGCCGUCGGCGUGGUCCAGCCGGUCGUCGUCGAUCGCGGCCGCGCAAUAGAGACGACCAUGACACGGACACGGAAUGGCAGCAGCUCUGGUGGCACCGGCUAAUAAGAAGUUAAGAACACCAAAACUUAGUACUACUACUUCUACUUGAUAGCUAUUAGCUUGGUACUUAAAUGUCUAAUCGCAGUUGUCAGGCAUCAUCCCCCUGCCCAUCUGUCCGGCAAAAGUCGAAAAAAUUCAAUAGCAUCAGGUCAUGAAUUGUGACAUAAGCAUCAGAAAAUCUGUACAUACUUACAUGGCGGCUGUGCUGAAUUUUUCGCAAAAACUCCGGAGGAAAAAGAUGGAGAUAGCACAGAUAAUGGAUUCAAACUUUUCCCAAGGAGAAGAAAAUUGCAGGCUCAAAGUUUCUGCCUUUUUCUGUGCUGUGUGGGCUUAAGUGGGUUUUGGCAGAUGCAACUUGUAGGGUUCAUGUCAUGCCAGAAGUUGACACUUAACAGAACUCAGCAACCCCAAAGAAGCAACCCGUUGUAUAUGGUCCUAUGGGCUGUGGAUUUCCCUUGUCAUGAUGCCAUCCUAGUCUCGUAGCUCAUGCCUCCACUAAUCCUUUUAUUAAUAACAUGAAUUUGGUCUGAACAUAUACUGGCAAGCAGCAUGAUUGUACAUGCUUAAUGCAUGCUUUUUUGUUCGGUAGUAGUAAACAUAUAUAUUUUUUUUCAUUCUGAUAAGCUUGGUAUCAAUUUGAAUUUG